UACUUGUAAUAUAUAAAAUUCCAUAACGAAAAUUACUUGAGAAGUGAUAUGACGUAAUCAUAUCGUAUAUCGUAAGUAAACACUUUACAUUAACGUUAAGUUCAGUCUUGUAAAGCUAUAAAUGUAUAUUAUUCCAUAUACUCAACAAAUAAACUUUGAAAUAAUUUGACCAGAAGACAUUGCUUUAUAAGACUAAUACAUGCAACUUUCACAUGAAGAAACAAAGCAAUAAUGUUGACGUUAUGAACUGAUAUUUGCCCUAAAAUGGACCCUAUACUAAAUUAUAACCAAACUGCAGAUUAUAACAGCUGUCUGUGUCACAAAUCAAUCUUAUCUACGUCGCAUGCCCUGAACAUGCUCUCAACACUGUCUUUCUUACUUUACUGAUAUAAACACGAAACGUUUGAAAUAGCAAAGAAAAUGUCUCAUAUUUUUGUCUGUCUGUUUCAGAUUGCAUUUUCUUUCUGUUUCAUGUUACCUGUUUAUGGAACAGAUGAAACUGAACAAAGACUUUCUGAGUUGGAAAAAGUAAUAAAAACUCAAAAAAGUCAGUUGGAUAUUAUUCGUUCAGAAAAAUCUGCUGAGAUAGAUCAGCUCAAAGAAAGAAUUCUUAUCCUUGAAGCCAAAGAAGGAAUGCGUAAAAGUGUUAAUGGAGAAAUGGACAAAUGGAAUGAUGUUAAAGAUGACGCUAAUGUCAAAAAAAGAAGAAGUUUCCUAUCAGCAACAAAUAUUGCAUUCCAUGUACAUCUAAGUGGCGACCGAUGUUAUAGUACUCAUUAAACAUUUGUAUUCGAUGUUGAGGAAACGGACAACGGAAAUAACUACGACGUGAGCGAUGGCAAUUUUGACG